AUCGAACGCUGGCGGCAGGCCUAACACAUGCAAGUCGAACGAGUGGCGGACGGGUGAGUAAUGUCUGGGAAACUGCCUGAUGGAGGGGGAUAACUACUGGAAACGGUAGCUAAUACCGCAUACCAUCAGAUGUGCCCAGAUGGGAUUAGCUAGUGGGUGGGGUAACGGCUCACCAAGGCGACGAUCCCUAGCUGGUCUGAGGGGAUGACCAGCCACACGGGAACUGAGACACGGUCCAGACUCCUACGGGAGGAAGCAGGGGGGAAUAUUGAACAAUGGGCGCAAUCCUGAUGCAGCCAUGCCGCGUGUAUGAAAAAGGCCUUCGGGGUGUAAAGCACUUUAAGUUGGGAGGCGUUACCAACAGAAGAAGCACCGGCUAACUUCGUGCCAGCAGCCGCGGUAAUAC
rnacentral:rRNA from 1 species